GACUGGAUAAUUUGGGAUAAAGGUUUAAUAGACAAGAACAGUAUAAAAGAAGUGAGCGGCAGCUUUCUGUAGCAUUUCACAAGUUCACUGUUGUAUCUGCAUCAGGUAUUGAAAGCUCCAAAAGUGUUUUUCAGUUUUUAAAUUGUUUAAAGAUGCCCCGUCCUUUGUUUCAAAGAAAUGGUUGCUGGGACCCUCUACAGGAAAAGACACAAAGCCUUUUCAACCAAAACACCGACCUCCCCGGUUUCCUCGAACCAGAUGAGGUUAGCUGGAUAGAAUCAGCAAGGAAAAGAUUGGGGACUUCAACCUGGCCAGGAUCUAUGCGUUUACCUCUCUUCAGCUCUUUGUGCAUGGAGAUUCCACCUAAACCAUGUACUGGAUCAGAAGGAUGUGUUUCUGAAUCUAUAUGUGAACAAAUGAAAGGACAGCAAAACUGGAACGUGUGUCUAGAUGUCAGUCCAUUUUCUCCAGAGGAGAUAAACAUCAAAACCAAGGAGGGAUAUUUGGAGAUAACGGGUAAUCGUGAGGAAAGGCAGGAGAAUCACCGGUUGAUCUCAAGAAGCUUUACAAGAAAAUACAAGCUUCCAGCUGACUUAGACCUAAAACAGAUCAACUCCAUGCUGUCUCCAGAUGGUAUUCUCGCAGUUGAGGCCCCAUUACCUGGCUCUAAUAUCAGUCUCCCUGGAGAGAUUGUCAUCCCUAUUCACAUGAUGGACAAACAGUUACCUGCAAAAUCAGAUGAGCUGUGCCUAACUGGUAACAAGUAAUUUACAGUUCUAGUUAAGGGUUAGGCAUAGCCCAUCUGAUUUAAUAUGUAUGUGUACAUAUGUGUGUUGAAAGUAAUGAAUGUUUUAAACCUUUUGUUUUUGAAAGCUAACAUUAGAAGAAUUUGAAAUACUGGCUUUGCAUGAAAAUAUUUAUCUUCUGAAUUAUUAACAAAACAUUACUAGAGAUGGUAAUAUGCUAAAUUGAUGAGUUCUGCUGUUACUUUGGUUUUAAAUACCAUUAUGCAAUACAUAAUUUGUGCUGUAUAAGAACUCUUAAGAUAAUCACUUGUAUGUAACCAUUAAGUACUAAAGAGAGAUUAGAUUUUCCAGUUCACACUUUCUCAGGCUAGAAAGGAAAGAAAGAAAGAGGCUUCAUAUGAGGCUUGUGUCAUGUAAUGCCAGGACAAUCCUUUUGAUUUUGAGAGACUAUUUUAGUACAUCUGUUUUGAGAAUGGUGGAAAUAAUAUAACAAUAAAGUAAUGUAAUUAUAAUUAACAAGAGACUUUGAACUGAAAUUGUCUGGGAAAAUCAAUAAAUAGGUAAGCAAAUAACUAAAUCUGAUCAUGCGGCUGAGCAGAACUUCAGAUCGCAUCCUCCAGAUGGUGCUGGUAUUUAAAGCUGUAGAGCUGACACCAGAUUCUCAGUGCGUUAAACUUCACACUACCACACUGCUUGUGAGGAAGGUCAUGACGCAGUCAGUUAUGAAACACAAAGCCUGCCUUCCUUUAGUUUCCUUGGGGUGUUUAGAUGUAUGGAGGCAGGUUUCUUUUUACCUACACAGUUUUACCUUGACUAUUUUUGUAUGUGUUCCACAGCUUUCAUCACAUUACUCAGGAGCAGUCAUCAAAUGACAUGUCUCAGUUACACUAGGCACGGUAAAAACAGCAAUGUGUUGACAUGCUCAGUAUUUUCCCUUUUUCUGUUACCUUGAUUUAGUAUGUUGGCCAGAUGACGUAUCCUUUUUACCCAAAGAUCUGUGUUGCUGACAGAUAAUCAAGCAUAUUAUAUGUAUAUAUCUAGCUGGUUUGAAUUUGUUGCUUAGGGCACAAAACAGCUUUAUCUCUGUCAUUCCUACAAGUUGUUUAGGGAUUUUACACAAUCAAAUGACAGUAUGUUACAGUCAAGUACAGUAAAUGGCUAUUAAAAACCUGACAGUAUAAGGAUUUCUUUAUUUCCUGGCUCAAUGAGUCAAUUAUGACUUAAUGCAUCAUCAGUUGUAUUUUACAGAGGCUGAGCCUAUUAAAAUUCUAAUGAUGAUUGCUGUUAGUAUAUGGCAGAUUAAAUUAAGUGCUGGAACUAGGCCUGUAAAUAUACACCAUAUAACACCAGGGCAUGUAGAACCGCCACUUGGCACCAUCAUUUAACUUACUGAGUGCACACAUGGUGGACAUGCCAGAAAUACGGCCCAGGGCAUCUCCAAUUACAUGACAAGUCUUAAGAUAUUCAGGAGGAAAGAGGGUGUUGAAAUAGUGAUGAUGCCAGUGAGCUCUGCAGGGGCCACUGCAGACGGUGGGGUCUGGUAUGAGCAAGUGUAAUGAGUGAAUGAAGAUUUUUGGCACAAUAAAAGAUUAGUUUGUCAACAUGUUCACAAUUCAGUGUUACAUGCACAACAUAAAUAUGCGAACAUAUCUGUUAUUUGCAUAUAGGGUAGUCUUAGUUGCCAUUUUAGGUGGGGAUUUGUGUGUGUGUGUGUGUGUGUGUGAGAAGUUUAAC